GUGCUCUCUUUGGCAGCACAUAUAUUAAAAUUGGAAGGGUGCAGAGAGGAUUAGUAUAGCCUCUGCACAAGGAUGACAUGCACAUUUGUGAAGCAUUCCAUUUUUUU
ensembl:snRNA U6 U6 spliceosomal RNA